AUGUCGCGCGGCGAGGCCCGGCCUCCUCGGGGACGCGCGGCCUCCGAGCGCCGGGAGCAUCCCAGCGGGCGCCGGCGGGACCAGAGAGUCGCUGGUAGAAAUCUUCAGGCACUCUGCAGUCAAACCACUCCUCACCUCACAGAUGUAAUCCGUCAAGGCAGGACUGGUACUGUUUCUGUGGUGUUUUUUUUGUUUGUUUGUUUUUUAAAAUACAGAUCACCCAAACCAAGUUUGGGACCUCCUUUGUUUCCUAUCUGACUUUCCUGGAAUUGUGCAUUUCUUUUUCCUCCUUCUUAAGUAUUUGUAUUGGGGCUGGCUGUGUUGCUUCUAGAAGCUUGUGAAAUGAUUUGUAGUUAUUAGCAUUUGUAUUGUUUUCUAAAACGCAUCAACCUUGUGUUGGUCUGAUUGUUUUCACUGGGUAUACCCUAGUGUAGAAGGAAGUUAAUUGCACGGGCACUUUCUCAGGCAUCUUUUUCUUUGCUCUCGUGUGUUCCCUAUGUUUGUUACAGAUUCUCUAAGUCAUAUCAGAAGAAUUACUAAAUGAAAGAGCGUUUGUCACAAUCUCAGAAGAGCAGUUGUGUUGCAUGGCUUCUGUGCAGUGUGCGCAUGAUUCAUCUGGCAGUGGGAGCACUUUGGAUUUUCCCACUUUAGCCAUUUUGGGUGUAGGCGCUGUCAGUGGGAGGGGGUUUGGGAACAUCAGGGGGAUUGGUCACAGGUCCAUAGGCAGAAGAAAAUGAUGUUCUGCUGCUAAGUGAAAGUUUAUUUUGAAUUUGUUUGGAAUAAGAAAUUUGUAGUUUAAUUGUUCACUUUCAAAACCUCCCCUUAAAAUUUUCUCCCUGUAAUUCUCAAGUCUUUCUAGAAAACACCUGAAUUGCAUUUUUUUUUUUUAAGGUAGAAAUACCUGCACGUUAUGGUGCUUGAAUAUGUGAAGUCAGCUGCUUAGAUGUCUGGGAGUCUGCCUUGUGUCCCAGAGAGGGCAAGGGGAAUUUUGAAGCAUCGUUUUUUUGUAGCAUCAGCACAGGAAUGUUUUACAAUCUGCUGCCCCCGCAGGGUUUUAGGAUGUGUAGUGGUCUUGGAAGACUCCUAGUGCCUGUCAUUACAGGUCCUGUUUUUCAAACAUGCUCGCUCCCAGCAUGAUGGAGCUCUGUUUUGAAAACCUGGACACUGGGUUUGUUGCCUGAACAGGAUCUCAGCUCCUUUGAAAAACCUGUCUCUGGUUGUAAAUGCCGCACUCCGAGGAAGCCAGCCAAGUGCCUGC
rnacentral:lncRNA from 1 species